ensembl:lncRNA
GGUAUUUUAGUCUCAACCGAGAAGAGUAAGAAGAAUCAUUCUGAGGCUCCUCACUGUGAUGGACUGAGGAGCCUUAUUUAUUCCCUGUGGAUAGUGGCCUGCCACUGGAGAGCCACAGGCUGGAGUGACAGAGCUGACUCAUGGGGUAGGGAGAAAAUGGCCUGGAUCACUGACAGAGGAAUCAAACUCAGGACCUUGUGCUUGCAAGGCAGGCGGCAGAACUACUGAGCUAAAUUCCCGGCCCACAAUGUUCAUUUUCAUUGCUGUGAUUACAUUACACUGGGGGAAAACAACUGUUGGCAAGGAUGUGGAGAAAAGGGAACCCUUGCACACUGUUUGUGGGAAUGCAAAUUCGCACCACCAUUAUGGAAAACAGCAUGGAGGUUCCUCAAAAAAUUAAAAACAGAGCUAUCGUAUGAUCCAGCUAACCCACUUCUGGGUAAAUAUCCAAGGGAAAUGAAACCAGUAUGUUAAAGAGACAUCUGCUCUUCUGUGUUCAUUGCAACACUAUUCACAAGAGCCAAGAAAUGGAAACAAGAAAUGGAAACAAGCUACGUGUCCGUCACUGGAUGAGUGGUACCGGGGAUCAAACUCAGGACCUUGCACUUGCAAGGCAGGCAGCAGCACCACUGAGCUAAAUCCCCAGCCCUAUUAUACAUUUUUAAAAGUUGCAGAUGGGUGACUGCUGCCUGAUCCUGGGUGAGAGGCAUUUUCUUUGCCAGUUGUCCAAAGAAUGGAAAUUUCCUGCAGUUUCACAGACAUAAUGGAUAUAUGCUGACUUUUUAAAAGCCAUCUGUUACUAGGGGCAAAAAGAAAUAAAAGAGGAAAAUACUUACUUUUAGACUCUCUAAUAUACGUGAAAAAAAAUCUUCCUAAAGAAAUGAGCAAAAAAAAAAAAGAAAGAAAGAAAAGAAAAGAACAACAGUCUUCAUAAAUCUGGAUCCUAGUACUCAUAUUGCAGGUUACCAGGUUCCAAGUGGCAUCUUAAGACCGGGAGGACACAAGGAACAAGGUGCAGCCUAAUCUGAAGAACAAGGGCAGUUCCUACGGAUGUGGACCUUGAGCAUCAGCUGGGCAGAAUGAAGUGAGACAGAAGCUGUCUCCUCGCUGAGUCUGGCAGCCAAAGAGGCUCAGGGGCCCGGACCCAGGAUGAACCUCAUGGGAAACCUCUUGGACCUCACCUUGCAGAUUCUACCAACUUUGCUACUAGGCUGUAACCUUGAUGAAUGGAAAAGGCAGAUCUCACCAGAUAAAGGAGGAGACCAAGUCAGACAACAAGGAAAUUAUCCACAUCAAACCCUCUGUUGCGAGUUCAAAAUGGUUGGAUGCAGUGCUUUUCUUAUAGCAGAAGUACUAUGGGGGAGGGGAGUUGCAUGCCUGCAUUGGUGUUUUAUAGCAACUACAUGUGGCCCAGAACUUUGGGAUAUUCCUGUCCUGUCUGCAUUCCAGCCGUGUCAAGAUCUUGCUUCUGUUUUUCAUGAAAAGAGCUCUGUGCUGUUUACAUGAGCUGCAGCUUGACCCGCAGCUGUACAACUUUCUUCUUCUAUUGUCUCAGGUCAAGAUGAAUUACAGACAGAGCCUUGACCAUAAAUAUUUAAUGAUUUUUAUCUUCAAAGCAUUGUGCAAGCACACUUAGUCUUAUUUUGAAGUGCUGAGUAGGCAUCUCCGAUCUUCUUUUAUGACAUAGUUUCUUUUUUAAAUGCUAGUCGCACCCUUUAUUCUGAAUCCUUAAUACAAGGCUGAGUUGUCUUUUUAUAAUAGCUUUAUUAAGAUAUAACUCAUAUAAUCAUAAAAUUUACCCUUUUAAAAUGUAGUGCUCAGUGGUUUUUAGUAUUUUUGGAGUUGUGCAACCAUUGCCACUCUCUGAUCUUAGAAUACUGUCUUCAUCACUCUGAAACGAAAUUGAUUUUCAGUAACUCUCCAUUCUGCCUCCCUCACCCUAUCUGACCUAAAGUACCUGUGGCAGACACUAAUCUAUUUUCUGUCUUUAUACCUAUUCUGAACAGUCUCACAUGUUUCUACUUGCCUUCUUUCUCUGCUACCUGCCUCCAUGAGAAGAGCAUCCCAGGGAUUGUCCACUUAUCCCAGAAGGUGAAUGAAAGACACUUGGAAAUGGAACAGAACUUUUCACCUCAGACAAGAGCAACUGCUUCGCAAAUUACUCAGAGUAGCUUGAACUAAAUAAAUCCUUGCUGUUACAUUCCACUGAGCUCUUGUGACCAUUUGUUAUGCAGUGAUAGCUUACUAAUACAAUGGCCAUUGUUAGCAACUCAGUUUUCCAUCUUAUGUUUUCACCAUCCAAGAGAGAUGGGGACAACUAGUGUCUGGUUCCAGCUAAGGGCUCUGAUUGACCCAUCCCUAAUUAUAAGUUAACAGGUUAGCCUGGCAUAGUUUCAUGGAAGUAAGCCAACAAAAUGUGGCCAUGAAGUGACAUGGAAGUGAAGACAUUAUUGUCACUGUUAUGUGAAGGAGUGGGGACAAUUGCUGAGAAAGGAAGGGGUGCUGGACACAUAGAACAUGCAGUCAUGACCUAGGAGGGACAAUGAGGUGCUACCCAAGCAGAGUGCAACUAUGUUCUUGGCACGUUUUACUUAUGUCUGUUCAGUCAUCAGGGAGAGAGCGAGCGAGCGAGAGAGAGAGAGAGAGAGAGGACCGAAUAAUGGUAAUUUUUCCUGGGAUGAAAGUGAAGUGUGUGUGUGUGUGUGUGUGUGUGUGUGUGUGGCUAUUGGAGAUAAGAAUCUCUGGUUAAAGGGUGGGCAUGGUGGCUCACACGAAUGAUCCCAGCACUGGGGAGGCUGAGGCAGGAGGAUCGCUGCGAGUUUGAGGCCAGCCUGGGCUACACAGUGAGUUCUAGGCCAGCCUGGACUACAUAGUGUGACCCUGUCUCAAAAAACCAAAACCAAAACAAACGAACAACAACAAAUAUCUGCUGUUAACUCGGCCUAAAUUCCAAGUCAUCACUCAAAAGGUUUAAGUCAUUUGCUAUACUGAAUGUGAUUCUAUGUAUUUUUGAACAGCUGUUUAUUUUAAACUAUAUAUAAUAGUAUACAUUGUAUAAUUACUCAUACUUCUUCCUGUAUAAUAUUGCAUUACAAAACCAUAUGUACUAUACUUAAUGGGAAGUUUAAGGAAUUUUCAAGUGCAACUGUCCAUUUCCAUACCUGCAUUAAGAAGCUUUUUCUCAGAAAUUACAUGUGUCUCAGAAGGGUGGAAGACAGGACCUGAGUGAGCAAAUAUUGCUUUUUAUCAUUUGGUGAAACAAAGGCUUAAAGUAGAAAUUAAGUAGAGUUUUGGAAAAAUAUUUUUUAAAUUCAAAUGAGUUUGUGAGUUGAGAUUCACACUACAACUCUACCCUUGUUAGUCUCACAUGUUAUUAUAGAAAAUGCAGUUGAGGUAGAAAGGAAUAUUAGAUGGUAGUGACAAAGAAUGAAUUAGUGCUACACGGAACAGCAGAUGAAUCUUACAAAUAUAAUGUUGAAUGAAAAAGAUUCAUAAGAGCGUUUAGUAUAUGAUCCUGUUUAUAUUAGGUUUCACACCAGGAAAAACUAAUCAAUAAUGUUAGAAAUGUUAGAAUGAGAUAAGGAAACAGAACUUGGGCACUGGCAGGAUACCUGAGACAGUUUUGCAUCCUGGAUUCUCUUCCAGCUGAUUGAGGUCCAUGGGAGACAAGGAUGGAGGUGUCAAAUCAUCCAGAGCAGAACCUGUGUGCCAGUCCCUGGAGACGGUCUAGAAAUUCAGGGGCACUUGGGGACUUGCACACAUCAGAAGAAAUAUCUGAGUAGGUGAGUGUGAGGUAUUGCCACUAAACCCUCUGUGCUGUUCACAGCUGGGUAGGAGCAUCAGAGUAUUCUGGCACAGGUAGCGGUGGCAUGGAUAUGGUCCAGAAGGUUGGCAGCCUUGAAAUGUUUUUGUUUUCUGGGCAAGGAUGGCCCAGCACUGCCCUGCUAGACUCAGUCAUAUUGUGCAGAUGGUGGAUCAGUUGGCCCUGACAAGAUGGCACUUUUAGCCAUCACAGAAUUUUCUGGAGAAGCCAGCUCUUCAUCCUUUCUUUUAGACUUUAAAAUCUUCAUAAAAAUGCUAUGGACCUACAGAGAGUAGUAUAUUUGAGCUCAGGAUUCUAGCAGAAUCAUGGACUUGAAAACAGUCAUGAUUUCUUGCCAUGGAUUACUUCUGCUUCUCCCUGUGUCCUUUCUCUUUGGUAAUGACUGGUUUUUCUCUCCUUCUUAGUCUACAUAGAGGAACAUGCUACCAGCUGGACCAAAGUUUUAAAUGUGAAAAUGCAAAUCCAGGAAAAGAGAUCUAUCCCUCUUCCGAAGCCCAAAGUGAACAUUUUCAAGGGGAUAAGAUUGAUUAGCCUACACUGGGAUGGUGCUCUCUGAAUCGAUAGCUUGUAGCUAGAAGAACAGGAUAAUACUGUACAAACUAUGUGGCUUGAUUUUUUUGACAAGGGGAAGGCAAGAUCUACAAAAGUAGGACAAGUGGUGGGACCAACAAUGUGAGUUCAGGGUGGUCAGUCCUCUUUGGCUUCUUUUCAUGGCUGCUGAGAAAGAAGAUGGAACAGGUUCCCUGAGCCCUCAUCCAAGGAAGUAAGAAUUGAUUACUAGCUUAGCCAUUACUUUACCUUGCUUGCAGACAUGUCCUCCUUUGAACUCUCUUUGUUUUUCUUUAUCUAUCUCCAGCCUGUAGACAAAGAAGCUCUGCUGAGGCUCCCAAGUGAAAGGUGCUGUCCCAUUUUACAAAAGCCUUAGGACCAGUCCUCAGAACACUUUGGUCCUUUGCCAUCCGAGAGCAAGUACACGGAGGUGUCUUGAGGCGUUAAGCGCCAGCUUGCAGAGAUAGUGAGGUAUAUUUUAGAACCCAAACUGCUGUCAGGGAACAUAUGGAUUUUGUUAUUUCCAUCCUAGCAGCUUUCUCUCCAUGGGUUUUGACAUAUGAAUUUCAAAAGGAGGGAGUGUUUUCCUGAUUGACACCUCAGAAAUACUCUUUGUGGCAAAAUCACAAAUAUUUCCAGAUCUUGCUGGGCAUGGAGAUGGCUGAGCUGCUGGAGACAUUCUAUCAGUGUCACUUGACACAGCGUGUGAGGUCAGGCAGGGGUGAACACUGUUGGCUGGACACAAAGGUUGAGCAUUAUCUGCUCUGUGGGGGGACACAUCACACUCAGCCAGCUCAGGAGGGAGACUGACACAUGUGGGUCAUUGCACGGAGUCUUUUCUCCCUGGCAGAGCAAAGCAGGCCUGACAUUCCCGGAAGAAAAUGACACUGAAAGCAGUCAGACAAAGGCCAGGCAAGCAUUACCAAGGCUUUCUGGAAAAAGCUUUCUUCGUGGACUCACGCCAAUCAUUACUUUACUUACCUUAACUAAUUCAUUUCUUGUUUUUGUUCCUUAAUAAAAGAAAGGCAACUGUCAUUUAUUGAAUUUUUUGUGGGCUAGGAUUGGUAGUGUGCAAGAAAUGGCUUGGCCAAGCUCAGGAGAACCAACUGAACAAUUUCCAGGAAUCCUGCAAGAUAACUGUUAAACACAAGCCAUUAUUAAAAAUUAAAUUAUACUAACAUAUAAUUAAACUGUGUUAGAACAGAGGUAAUAAAUACUCAAAACUCAUCACAUUCUAAUUAUUUUACUACAUUGUACUGUUGUGCUCAUGAACUUAUUUGUAUCUACUGCAUCUGUAUGUUGGAAAUACUGUAAAAUAACUUGCUACUGUGCAUCUCUGUGAAAAUUGGCCGUAGUGGGAGGAACUAGCAAAUGUUACAAAUCUGGGCCGGUUUUAAAAAUUGUUUUCAUCCUUCAAGAUAAUGACAACAGUGGAGAAAAUGUUAAUAAUACAGAUUAAAUUAAAAAUGUAUGUUUGUAGCUGAUACACUAUCAGCUACAAAAAUUUUGGAAAAUAGUAUUUGAAACUCAUUCCUUGAUUUGGUAAAGAAGUUGUAGUUGUUCAUGUCAUUGACCCAUGACCGAAAUUCUGACAUUUUCAUCUCAUUUUUAUCUUUUGAAUGUUAACAAAAAUAUCAAACAACAUAUCUGUGUCACAGCUAUACUCAUUUGUCAGUUGCAGCCAUAGGUUGGCUGUGGAUGCAACAGUUCAACAAUUCCUUGAAAGCAUUUUGUGAGAAUUAACUGGCUAAAUGAAAUUUACAAUAAUGAAUAUAGUAUAUCUCAUUAUUAGUAGUGAAUUAUGCGUGACAUAUCUUUUUAUCAGUAGAAUUUCCAUAAACAUUUAUGAAUACUCACACAUUUUUGAGGAGGGGUAAUUAUUAGCUAUUGUUACCUUUGCUAUGAAUAUACUUCCCUCUUUACCUUGUCUUCCAAGACCCAAUUCAAAGUCUGAUCUACCCCUUCUUUCUGGUCCUAUGUUGCAGCCCUUGUUACCAGUGCAUUAGGGUUUGGGAAGUUCCCUGUACUUUCUAGAAUAAGUAGAGUGGAAGAGCAGGAACCUUGAAUAUUCAGCUCUGAACAAGUUAGAGCUGUGCUCAAUGCUUGAUACCUAGGAGUUGUCCACAAGGUGUGGGUUGAAAGAGAGAGCAAGAACCCUGGGCAGAAGUGGGGAGAAAGAGAAAAGAAAGUGGUCAUGUACGUAGAAAAGGGGCAGUGGGCAGUACUGCUACCUGCCAUGUAGGUUGACAUACUCAGGUGUGUUUGCUCACUGCUGACCAAAUCAAAGGAGGCCAUUUAUUUUGGUAAAAAAGAAAAAGGAUUUAUUCAAAGCUAGCUCUAAGGAAAUGGAGGUGCCCUUUUGCCUCCAACCCCAAGCUCACUGUGUACAGGUGUGAAGGGACAGGGAGAGGGAACACAGAGAUAAUGCACAUCUUCACCCUUGCUUUGUGGCUUCAGGCAUCUUCAGCUCCUUCUCUACUUUCUUGUAGAAAGGAAACUGGGCCCUGGCCUCCAUGGGGCUGGUAUCUGCAAUUUUGUCACUUUUGGGGGGCAGACGAGAGAAGGGCGUGUUGGUUAUGUGCUCAGUAGGAGAUGUGUGGAGAAAUGUAGAGAAGUUGCUUAUCUCUAAAAUUAAAAAAUUAUAAUUUAAAGUUCCAUUUUGUGGUGCCAGUUACAAUAGUAUAGAGCACAUUUUGAUAUUUAAGUUUACUUAGGGUUCCUGCAGUCUGUAUCGAAUGCAGCAAGUUUUGGCUGAUCAAACCACAACACUGAUAAACUGGAUUUGUUUGGAAAUGACCUAGACUUUACAAGAGCAAGACAAGUCACCAGCUAAUCAUAUCACUUAAGGUACUUGACAUGAUCCUGGCUGAGCUCAGCUCAGUGAUUAAAUCCUUCCAGACAGUUUUUUCUUUUUAAGCAACAGUCACUGAACACCUAUUUGAAUGUGGUAGGCACUAGAUUUUCCACAUGUCCUAUGUAAGAGACAACAUCAGAAGCCCAUGAGAACCUGCUUUCCUCCGAGGAACUUGUCCUGUUGUAUAUCCUGGCUGCAAAGCCCCUCCUCACACCCCUGUGGAGGGGCUUGGGUGCCAGUCCUCCUAUUCAAGAAGUGUUUUCAGUCUUCUCAUCCCAGCCAUUAUUGAGUAGCUGGCUGAGUUUCCUGUCCAAGAAGGACACAAUUACCUGCCUCCCACAAUAUACAUCCAGCCAGGAUCAGCUUACUCGUGGCCAGCCAGCCACUCCCCUAAGAGGAGCAGUUGCCGAUAAGCUUGGAAAAAAACAAGUCUCCCUUUAUCUCCUAUUACCUCCAUCACAUUGGUCGUAAAUAAGGUCAGCCGGGAUCUGUCUAGCCUCCAGCCAUGGCCCAGUGUAAAGUAGAUAUGUCAAAGAAAAUGGGAAAAAUCUUUUACACUCCUUCCAUACUUUCUCUCAAGUCACUCAAAGAGCCAAAUGAAAUAGGGUGUGGGUCUUCAUUUCCCAUCGUGCAGUGGAUCCUCCUUUUGUCUUUGUCCUCUGCUAGUUUAUUCUUAAUUCAGAGGCCAGAAGGUUCUAGUUAAAAGGCACACCAGACUAUGUCAAGCCUUUACUCAGAACCUCCAAUAGCUCCAACUGCAAUCAGAAGCUGUGACUGAAGACUCUUGUAUCCCAACCCCUUGUGAAUCUGAUUUCCUACUGGUUCCUUCUCCUCAGCAGCCUCAAUAAUCUUGUUCCUUGAGCUCAUCACCCCACCCUCACCCCCCACCCAGAGCCUUUACUUUCCUUGUUCCUUCUGCCUGGGACAUUCAUCUCCCAGCUAGCCACAAGGCUUCCUCCCUCACUUCCUUUACUCUGUGUGAACCUCACCUUGUCAGUGAAGUCUACUAUGAUGUGCACAGAAGACCUUACCUUUCCCUCUGCUGCUGGUCCUCAUCGCCCUGUUCUAUCAUUCCCAUGGGAUUUACCAUCUUCUAGCAUAACAUAAUUUAUAUAUUGAAUCUGUUUAUAGGUUUUCUCUCCCCAGUAUAAAUGUAAGCUUUAAGAAGCCAUAGAGGGGCCAGGGAUUUAGCUCAGUGGUUCCGGUGCCUGCCUCGCAAGCACAAGGUCCCAAGUUCAAUCCCCAGGACCAAAAAAAAAAAAAAAAAGAAGGCAUAGAUUACGUCCUUUUAGUUUGCUGAUGCAUCUCAAAAAUGUCUAAAACACGAUAGAUAAUAGAAGCUCAAUAAAUAUUUGUCAUAUGAUGUAUACUUCUUAAAUUGAGGAAUCUAGGGGCACCUCAAAGUUAAUGAACAUUGUGGAGGCAUCUGGGACUAAAAAUCAGUUUCCUCCAUGCUAGAACCCACAUCCAUCAUCUAAUCCUCAUUUCCUUUUUAUCAACAACAGCACUUAGGGGAAAAUACCAGAGAGUUCCCUAUGGAGCUGAGUAGAUAGAUUUUUUUUUAAUAUUUAUUUGUUCAUCAAGGUCAAGGAUGCCAUAUGAAAACUCUGUAAGUAUUUUUUUCACAUUAAUACAUUUUCCUGAAAAUGUCCGUGAAUUUGGAUGAUUUUAUAUUCAUAUGCCAAUACUUGAAGAAUAAAUCUCAAACAAGGAGUCUUUGUUGUUAGUAGUGGUGUCUGUGGAGGUGGAGACAGGGAGGUGCAGUUGCGGAGGAGAAAUAUAGAAACAUUAGUUUAAUCAUGUGGGCUACUCUGUUAAUAAAGCUAGUGCCUCCUUUAUGACAAGGAGCUCUGGAAAACCAAAUAGAAAAUUGCUUUCCUUUAAAGAGAUCUACUGAGUCAUCGUCUGAAUCCCCUCUCUGCUACUUCUCACUUGGACUGCUGGUGAUUUUACUCCUAAUUUAUCUAAAGGGAGCUUAUGAAUCAUCAUCAAGAUUAAUUUCCAUUAGCUCCUCUAUCACUAAACACCGAAGUAACCUGUUGUAGUUAUCUAUUGCUGGAUAAUAAAUUACCCCAAAAUUUAGUACGUUAAAACAGCAACCAUUUCAUUUGCUUACAACUCUGUGCUUCUGUAAUUUAGAGUUCAGCUGGGUGGUCUUCCUGUUCCAGGCAAUGCUCACUGUGAUCACUCAUUGGCUGUAUGCAUCUGGUGGCUGGGACCAGCUGAAACUGAUGAAUCUGCCAAGUUGUAAAGCAAGCAGCAGUCCAUUGUAAGAUGAAAGUGAGGCACCGGGGACUCAACCAACACUCAAAGACUAGUGGGCAUGUUUAGGUUGAGCAAGCAGGGAGCUCAGAUCCCUCAUGGCAUCCACCACAGUUACCAGCACAUCUCCCUCAGCAGACAUAAGGCCAUUGGAAGGAGAAGAAAAAAAAAUGGUUUAGGUAAGUUUACAUUUGGCUUGGAUCAGUGUGAGAAUACAGCCUGAAAAUGAAAAACCACCAUAUAACAACCACACUCAAGAGUGACUUUGAAAGAAAAUGGGGAAAAAAAGAGAAUGAAAAUCUUAUCACUGAGUGGAGCUAUAAUUAGAGCAUCUGGCCACUAAUGUUAUGGAAAGACAAGUGGUCCAAGCUGAGUAUGACUUAAUGGAUUGGUUCGAGGUCUAGAAGGAAAAUGACUGGAAAAUUGGAGACAAAGAGGUCUGGGGUGGAGCCACGUGGCCAGACCUACAGGAGUGGGCAUGAAGUAUGCGCAUGUUAAUGUGACAUGUUAAUGUCCACUGGAAAGCAUCCACUACAGAAGUGACAUUGGACAAUUUACAUUAGCUAGCCUUCAUCAUUAGUUCCCUCAGAACAGGCUUGAUGGACUGUCAAAAGAAAUGGCCAUACUGGUGAAAAAGAGCUUCCAUAUGGACCCAAAUGCAAAGACUUCCACUGAAGAAGACUGAUGCAGAUAUCGCCUUCUCUGAAUGUCCAAACUGCUGACAACAAGGACCAAUCCUGAGCCCCAGUAUGCUUCCUUGACAAUUUGUCCUCAUAUCAAUAGACACCUAUUCUGAGUGUGAGUCUGCCUUUCAUGUCUGCAGAGCUUUAUGUAGCAACAUUAUCCAGUGGUUUAUGUGGAAACUGACUCACAGCGCAGGCAUCAGGAAUUUAGGGUUCAGAGCCACUCUGGCCCACACCUGGAGAGUUUCCUUCCUCCUGGGAUUCCCAGGGAAAAGCAUGGCUUUCUCUAGACUCUCAGGUGUAAGUCCUUCCUUUCUGCUUUAGAGGCUCCACAUUAGGAAGAUCAGGAUCAGAGCCUCACUCAAACACUCACCCACGCCUAACAUUCUUACUCUCUCCAGUCUUUCUCCUUCCUGCCUUAUCCACUUAUCUCUUCAAGUCUGAAAAUUACUUUAACAUUGUAUCUGUGUCUUCUCAAGUCUAUGGUUCAAAGUAUAAAUCCUGUGGUUUGCUAGUCCUCUAAUAUUGGCUUUAGAUAUUUAAACCCUAGUUUCUGGAACUCUCAUCAAACUAACUUCCUUCCUUUCACUUCUCCUCAUUGUCUUCCUCCCUCUUGUCUUCUACCUUUGAGUUCUAAAAUCUCAAAAAAGCCUGGUCCUUGCAAUAAGAAAACACUGUCUAUUGUGUGUUAAAAAUUCCAUUCAGCAAACCAGUUGACUUAUUUGAACCAGGAUAUAUAAAAAUUUUUUUGAACUUCAGACAUAUAUCACAGUCUCUUCCCAGCUGAGAAUUUAUCCUGUUCUAGGCCCAUGAAACAUUUCCUAAGGGUGAUCAGUUAUUAAGCCAUAAUAAAAAGUUUAAUACAUUCCAUCAUUCAGGCCACAAUCUUCGAUCACUAUGCAGAGAGAUUUAACAUUAAUGCCAAAACUUAAAAGAAUAAAAUCCCACCACACUCUUACAUAGCUUUUGGAUCAAAGAGAAAUCAAAAGAGUGAUUGCAGGUUAUUUAUAAAACAAUGAUAAGAAUACUACAUAAGUGAGGUGGCCAAGAUUGUGCAUAGGAACAAUUAGUUUUAGAGGCUUUUGUAAUUAAACAAAGAAAAGAAUACAAAUAAACUGUUCAAGUAGAAGUUAAAAACAGAGCCAACAAAUACGACUAUGGCAAAUAAAAGAGGAAAUUGAUAAAGACUAAAGUAGAAAUUAGCAGUUAGAAGAAAGCCAGUAAAUUUGAUAGAUAAAUAAAUAAAAUGGUUCUUUAAAGUAUUAGAUAAAAAAGAAAAACUUUUUCCAAAGCCAAUCAAGAAAAACAAGGGGAAAAACCAAGCAAUUGGAGUGAGGACAGAUAUAUAACCACAGCUAGCAGAGAGAUUUAUGUUUUAUUAUGUAGAUUAUUAUGCUGAACUCUACUAAAACUUAUGAAGUCUGGGAAAAUGAAUGAUUUUCCAAUAAAAUAAAUUAUCAAAAUUUGUUAAGGAAUAAAAUGUAAAUAUACUCAUGAUCAUAAAAGAAAUUUUAAGAGUUUUCGGAGCUCUCCAAAAAUAUGCAUAGCUUUUACAAGCCAGAUCCAAUAGAACUUCACUGAGCAUAUAAUUGUCAUAGAAUUUAAACUGUUGCAGAAUUUCACUUCAUUUUACUAAAUUAGCAUAGUCUUGAUCUCUAAAUGUGUAGCAAGAAUCUACUAUAAUCUCAGAUGUGAAUAUAUUUCACGAAUUUUAAGUAAAGUAUUAGCAAAACAAAUCAAUAGUAUAACAAAAGAAUAAUGUGGCCUGGGAUUUAGCUCAGUGGUUUCGGUGCCUGCCUCGCAAGCGCAGGGUCCCGAGUUCAAUCCCUGGUACCCCCCCCCCCAAGGAAAGAAAACAAAAGAAUAAUGUAAUAUGAGUAAAGUUUUUCUGAGAAUGGAGGCAUAGUUCAAUAAUGGAAAAUCUCAGACAUUAGUGGAAAAUAAAUUGAUGCAGCCUUUUAGGGAGGGCAGUUUGAUUAAAUUCUAUCAAAUUUAGGAAUGCAUUGAAUCUGUGCCUUAGUCCCCUUAUAGUUACCUGUACUUAAAGAAAUAUGGGUACAAGAUGUUUGCACAAGAACCCUCUUUUUUUCUUGAUAGUGAGACAGAGAGAGAGACAGACAGACAGAGAGACAGAGACAGAGAGAGGAAACAACUUAAAUAUCCAUUAAUAAGAGAAUGACUAAGUCACAGUGUUACACUAAAAAGUACAAGGUAGUAUUUUAAAAGAAUGGGUUACUCUGUACCAAAACAGAAAAAUCUCUGCUACAUUAAGUAAACAAGACAACAAAACCAAACCAUUACUGGAGACCUCUCAGUAGGUUCCAGUCUCCUGCCCAGUAUACGAUGCAGAGCUGAAGAAAGACUCAAAAACAGAAUUAAAGAAAAAAGUGGGGAGCCAGGAUGGCCAGUGCUGAGCAACCAGGAAGGCCAUGGUCACUGAUUUUUAUUGGUAAUCAAAUUGGGAUAAAGGGUAACUAUGUGCUAAGAUGUGCAGUUGUGCAGUUGCUAUGAAUACUAAUGCAGGUAAGGCUUGUAAAGGAAAAGAUAAAGCAUUCUUGAAGUAAGAUCAGAACAGAGAAAAUAUAGGGUUGUAAUUAGUACCUUGUCCUUCUAGUUAAGAAGGUUUUAGUUGUGAGAAUGGAAUUUGGGUGCGAGUUACUUUGACCUCAGCUACUAUAUUAUCUCAUAUUGAGCCCCAUAGCUUCACAGAACAUUUCUCUGGUCUCUGCUGGGGCCGUUAGUGGGAAGGUCAUGCUAACCUGUGCGCUACUGCAGUGCUUAGGAGGUGCUUCUAUGAGUCACAUAAGCUUCAGACUCUCUUCUUAAAAUGGGCCAAUUGAGGGGUUAACUCUUUAUAGCCUGCACUGCUUACAGCCCACUUUGGGCAUAAUCAGUAGGGUGGCUCCCUACAAACCCCAAAUAUAUGAACUAAAUAAUAUUAUAUAAUGAUCCUAUUAAUGUAAAAAAAACUGUAGAGCCACAAAUGUGUGCACUUACCUGAGUAUGUAUAAAUGAAGAUAGCUCUAUCUAUAGAAGAUAACUCAAGAGGUGAGGAUGGGGUUGAUGACAUGGUACUGGGUGGCAAAGAGAUGUCAUUUUUUUUCCAUAUAGGUCCUGCAUUGUUUCACAUUUUCACAAUGAAGCUAUGCUCAGGGGUCACUUGUGUAACUAAAAUAGUAAAGAGUCAAAUAACACAUUUUGUAAUAAUUCAUUCCAUCAAUAAUCAAAAGAGGAAAAAAUCCUUAUACUUGAUGGUUUCCAGAAAAGCUUCUACCUCCUGCUAAUUCUUUUUAAAACUAAUUUUUUUGGGGGGUACCAGGGUUCGAACUCAGAACCUUGUGCUUGCGAGGCAGGCAGUGGAACCACUGAGCUAAAUCCCCAGCCCCUUAAAACUAAUCUUAAGAAAGAAAAAAGAAACUUUUAAAGUAAGAUCAAGAAUAUCAAGACAAUGAUUAUCAUCAUACUUAACAGUGGAGGGUUAAAGUAGUACCUAAUAAAGUUGGGCAGAUGGACUGGGAGGUCAGUAAUAUAAUUAUUGAACACUUAACAAUUUUGGUCAAUUCAAUUCCAUAGGAAAAGAAGAAACAGUAACCUUGAGAGAGGAAAGGAGUGUGGUGGGGGGAGAGAGAGAGUAUUAAUGUGUUAAGAAGGAAUAUAAAAUUGUUACUGUUUACAGGUAUGAUAAUCUCCAGGGAAAACCCAAGAGGUUCAACAAUAAAAGAGCACUUGCAUACGCCAAGGGCUUCCUGGCUGCCAGCCCUCUGCUCAGUCUUCAUAGACACAGUCUCAUUUAAUUCCCAAGAACCCUACGAUGCACAUUUAUCGUUUCUGUUCAACAGACAAGGAAAACUAUGUGCCUCAAAGGUUUAGGAGGCAGUGAGUGGUGAAGCAGCUGAGCCCAGAUUUAACCUGAGCUCUGAAUCUGGAGCUGGUUGAGAUCCUGCAGCCUGAAUGCACACUGUUUAAAAGCCACAGGGUAUCUUUUAAUAAGAAGACAACUAUAAUAGAGAAAAAGAUAUAAUAAUAAACACUUUAAAGUGGUGGUGUUUAUAUAGAAUAUCAAAAGCUAAUUUGGAAAUAUCAGGAAAAAUUACGUUCUAUGUGCCAUGGCGACCAGAAUUAUGUUAACAGCACACUUAAAAAUACCAGUAAAAGAAAACUUCAAAACUUUACCGAGAGACAAAGAAAAAACUUGAAUACACAGAGACAUGCUCAUCUGUAACUUGCAAGUCAAUAUUGAAUAUAUUUCAGUUGUACUCAAACCAACCCACAAAUAUAAAUUCUUAACAAAUUAGCAGUUUUGUCAGAACCUGACCAAACUACUCUUUUAAGAAAAAUGUUUAAUUUCAAGAGCUCAUUGUAUUAAACAAAUCAGAAAUACGUCACAUAAAACAUUUCCUCCAGAAGUAAACACUGUAAACAUUGUUAUUUGAAGCCCCCCUCAGAAUCCUGCUCUUUUAGCAUAAUAAAGACAAAUGACAUGCAGAGAAUGGCUUAGAGUAGGUCAUGAGGGCAUAUUACUAAGUUUUUAGGAAUUUUGUGAACUGGUUGAUAAACAUAGGCAAUAUGAAGAUCAUAUUAUAUAAACUAACAAUAAGUUAUUUAAAAAGCGUAAGUAAAACAUUUUUAAAGUUCAUUUCUUUCGAAUUAUUUUAUUAAAUGAUGUUAGCUAUGUGUGCUUCUAAGGUACUUUACAUGUAUUUUGUCUGAAUGAUGGACAUGCUAAACAGUGGUCUGCUGUUGUUCUCCUCCCAAUUCUGUGAGCAGUGACAUCAUGUUAGCAGGUUGCAACUGACUAUGGUGGGGAUACUUUGACCAUGGAGGGUGGCUGUGUUUGUCAGCUUUCUGUUACUAUAACAAAUGGCUAGAAUAAUCAAUUUCAAAAGAGAAAGGUUUAUUCGGCUUAUAGCUUUGGAAGUUUCACCCCAGGAUCAGAUGGCCCUGUUGCUUUUAGGCCUGUGAUGGCACAUCGUGGGGGGAUCCUGAGGUGGAGAAAAAACACCCAUGCAUGCCUGGAAGGCAGGAAAGAUCAGGAUCCCACCAUCCCCUUCAAGGGCACACCCCCACUGACCUGAAGACCUUCUCUCAGAACCCACUCCUUGGAGUUUCCACCGCCUCCCAGCAGCACCAAGCAGAGGCCCAAGCCUUUAACGCAUGGGCCUGUGGGGGCCACUCCAGAUCCAAACUGUAGCACUGACAAAUGCUACUGACCACAGUCUUUUCAGAGCUGGUUAUUAAACAUUGAACUCAGUAGCAGGAGUCAUAUGUAUUUUAUCUGUGUGUGUAUGCACGUGGUUCAAUAAAAGAGGGGAAAAAAAUCAUAUCUCACCUCCCUACUUAAAAGUAGAAUAAAUGAGGAUGACAAAUACAACUUGUUUCAUAAUCAGUACUAAUGAGGUAGAAAAGGAUUCCUUGCGGCAAAGAACUUAAAAGAGUUAUCACACUUAAACAUGUCAUGAAUUUUUCUUUUAUAAAAGACAGUGUUUUCAAUCUACUAAUCUUUUCCAGGAUGAAAGUAGGGUCAGUAAAAUGCACUUCAAAUUAUUUGGAAAAAACAGAUAUGCUUGUCUUUUCAAGGCACAAAUUACAUUGUAACAAAGAGUGGGGGAAUAACAGCCUUUUGGGAAUAACAGCCUUUCGAGAUAAACUCAUGCUUUGGAGAGAGUAUGCUGGAAAUGGGCAGAAGAUAUACCUCUAGAGUUGUGUGAUUUUGGGGGCUGAAAAUGAUGUAAGUGAACAGUCUAUAAAAAGACUAUAUCUGCUUACUUUAAAAACUUGGAAAUAGGAUAUUCUACUGUGCUUCAGUCUUCUGAAAUAAACUAACUUGCUAACAAUGUGGAAAGAUAAAAGCUUCCAAUUAUUUGGCAGAAACAACCAGCAGCCAUCAGGAAUAAUGGAAAUUGUUAGCUGAAUCUCAACAAAGACAUUUGCAUAUUGGUGAACAAAACUGCAAAUGAGUAUCACUAUUACUGGAGCAUAGUCUAUAAAAAUACUGCUUUCAUUUGGUGUCUUGCGUGAUGGUGAAGCUGCUUUUCACUUAUUUCAAAACCAAUUACUGGAAUAAUCUGAGUUUAGAAGGAGAAUUGGGAGGGGCUGAGUAUCACAGAGCAUUGAGUCAAGAUUGUAAAAUAAAGAAAUAACAUUUACCUUUGUUAAAACACAUUUUUAAGUGAGAGAAAAAUAUCCUGUACCUUAACAAUGAAGUUUAAAAGUAUUUACUUGAUAUUUAAAUUUUCCUUUUAAAAUUCCGCAGUGUGGAAUUGGACCGGCAGCAUCCCCGGGGAGCUGGUUAGAAAUGCAGCCUCUCCUGCGACUGCAUGACAGCCCCCACCUAACUGCUUCGAGGAAUCGUGUGCAUUGACAAGUUCUGGCACAAGCACCAUCGGGGCUACUUUGCUGUUUGGUGGGUGGGCAGUUGAUGGGGUUGGGAGUGGUCAAUUUGUCAGGUUGGAGAUUUCAAAGACGGGUAAUUCUGGACAUUUUGAAUGGAUAGUAAUCUUAAAACAAUUGUCAGAAGUAGAUGGAGACUCGCUGCAUAUAAUUCCCAACCCUACUGUAUAAAAGCACUAAAUAGCAGACAGUUCUAUUACGGUAUUUCUUGUAGCCUCCUGGUUAGUUCUUACAAGAUGGUUGUUAUAAAAGCCUGAGCUGGUGCUGCCCUCUCUCCCUGGCUUCCUGUUUCUAGAUGUGGUCUCUUCCUCCCACAUUGUCUCCGCCAUCACCAACUGCCAUGGGGCAGCCAGGGUUGCUGCCAUAGUGUUUGGACUUUCAGCCUCCAAACUGGAAGUGAAAAACCCUCUUUAUAAAGUUAGCCUGCCUCAGGUAUUUUUUAUACUAGUGAGAAAAAGACCAGUGCAUGAGCUAAUAUAUGACAUUAACUUUUUAUUUUACUCUUUUUAAAUUUUAUAUAUUUAUUUAUUUUUGGUACCAAGGAUCGAACUCGGGUCCUUGCGCUUGGGAGGCAAGCGACGGAACCACUGAGCUAAAUCCCCAGCCCUAUAUGACAUUCACUAUGGGCCAGGUGCUAUCCUAAAUUCUCCCUGUGAAUUAAUUAUUUAAUCCUCUUUCACCCUAGGAGGUGGAUCUAUUGUUAUCCUCAGUUUACAGCCAAGGAAGCUGAAGUACAGAGAAAUUAUUUGCUCAGAGUCAGAGCUAAUAAAUAGUGAAGACAGGAUUUGGACAUAGUCCAGCUCCACAGCCUAAGCUUUUAACCAUUAUGCUGCACUGCACGGGUAUAAAAUAAAUAAAUAAAUAAAUAAAUAAAUAAAUUCCUAUAUAUUAUGGAUGCACCCUCAAAUAAUUUUAUUGAUGGAAAAGUGAUAAAAAGG